GCGCCCUUGGCUCAACGGAUAGAGUAGCUGACUUCGAAUCAGUUGGUUGUAGGUUCGAAUCCUACAGGGCGUGCCA
rnacentral:tRNA from 2 species